rnacentral:rRNA from 1 species
UGGGGAAUAUUGGACAAUGGGGGAAACCCUGAUCCAGCAAUGCCGCGUGAAUGAAGAAGGCCUUCGGGUUGUAAAAUUCUUUCACUCGUGAAGAUAAUGACGGUAGCGAGAGAAGAAGCUCCGGCUAACUCUGUGCCAGCAGCCGCGGUAAGACAGAGGGAGCUAGCGUUGUUCGGAAUGACUGGGCGUAAAGGGUGCGUAGGCGGUUAUUUAAGUAAGAUGUUAAAGCCCUGGGCUUAACCCAGGAAUCGCAUUUUAAACUGAAUAGCUAGAGGGUGACAGAGGAAAGUGGAAUUCCUAGUGUAGGGGUGAAAUCCGUAGAUAUUAGGAGGAACACCAGAGGCGAAGGCGACUUUCUGGGUCACAACUGACGCUGAGGCACGAAAGCGUGGGGAGCAAACAGG